AUUGAACGCUGGCGGCAGGCCUAACACAUGCAAGUCGAACGGUAACAGGAAGCAGCUUGCUGCUUUGCUGACGAGUGGCGGACGGGUGAGUAAUGUCUGGGAAACUGCCCGAUGGAGGGGAUAACUACUGGAAACGGUAGCUAAUACCGCAUAACGUCGCAAGACCCAGGAGGGGGACCUUAGGGCCUCUUGCCAUCGGAUGUGCCCAGAUGGGAUUAGCUAGUAGGUGGGGUAACGGCUCACCUAGGCGACGAUCCCUAGCUGGUCUGAGAGGAUGACCAGCCACACUGGAACUGAGACACGGUACAGACUCCUACGGGAGGCAGCAGUGGGGAAUAUUGCACAAUGGGCGCAAGCCUGAUGCAGCCAUGCCGCGUGUAUGAAGAAGGCCUUCGGGUUGUAAAGUACUUUCAGCGGGGAGGAAGGGAGUAAAGUUAAUACCUUCGCUCAUUGACGUUACCCGCAGAAGAAGCACCGGCUAACUCCGUG
rnacentral:rRNA from 1 species